UACGUAGGGGGCUAGCGUUGUCCGGAAUCAUUGGGCGUAAAGAGCGUGUAGGCGGCCCGGUAAGUCCGCUGUGAAAGUCAAAGGCUCAACCUUUGAAUGUCAGCGGAUACUGCCGGGCUAGAGUCCGGAAGAGGCGAGUGGAACUCCUGGUGUAGCGGUGGAAUGCGCAGAUAUCAGGAAGAACACCAACGGCGAAGGCAGCUCGCUGGGACGGUACUGACGCUGAGACGCGAAAGCGUGGGGAGCGAAACAGG
rnacentral:rRNA from 1 species